UACGUAGGGUGCAAGCGUUAAUCGGAAUUACUGGGCGUAAAGCGCGUGUAGGCGGUUCAGUAAGUCUGCUGUGAAAGUCCAGGGCUCAACCCUGGGAUGCCGGUGGAUACUGCUGAACUAGAGUGCGGAAGAGGCGAGUGGAAUUCCCGGUGUAGCGGUGAAAUGCGCAGAUAUCGGGAGGAACACCAAUUGCGAAGGCAGCUCGCUGGGACGUUACUCGACGCUGAGACGCGAAAGCGUGGGGAGCAAACAGG
rnacentral:rRNA from 1 species